GAUAUAGUACAGUGGUAGUGCAACUGCUUGCAACUCAGUCAGAAGGUUCCAGGAUCAAUUCCAGGUGGGUCA